rnacentral:tRNA from 1 species
GGGUCGGCUCGCCUAUUAGCGUAGGCAACGGUCUGUAAAAUCGCCGCGUCCGAAAGGCGCAUUGCAGGUGCGACUCCUGCCCGACCCA